rnacentral:rRNA from 1 species
CCUACGGGUGGCAGCAGUGAGGAAUCUUUGUCAAUGGACAAGAGUCUGAACCAGCCAAGUCGCGUGAAGGAUGACUGCCCUAUGGGUUGUAAACUUCUUUUAUAAAGGAAUAAAACGAGGCACGUGUGCCUUUUUGCAUGUACUUUAUGAAUAAGGAUCGGCUAACUCCGUGCCAGCAGCCGCGGUAAUACGGAGGAGCCGAGCGUUGUCCGGAUUUAUUGGGUUUAAAGGGAGCGUAGAUGGGUUGUUAAGUCAGUUGUGAAAGUUUGGGGCUCAACCGUAAAAUUGCAAUUGAUACUGGCAGUCUUGAGUACAGGUGAGGUAGGCGGAAUUCGUGGUGUAGCGGUGAAAUGCUUAGAUAUCACGAAGAA